CACUGCUAAGCUGUGUGACCUUGGGUGAGUCACUUGGCCUCUCUGAGCCCCAGGCGCCUCCCCGGGAAAAUGAGGGUAAUAGUAACCGCUCCCGGGGGUUUGUGCGAAGGUGUUCAGCUCACAGAGGGCCGGCACCGGCACUUUUGAGGCGGCUGACUUGCCCUGGGGGUGUGAUGGGAGGUGCAAGCUUUCUCCAAAAGCCUCCUCCAAAUGGAGCCUUUAAAUCCGCCUUCUUUCCGCGGCUACUCCACCAGCUCGCCAAACCGAGAAAAUGCAAACACGGGGGCGGGGGCAAGGGAGCUGACCUGGCUGGAAGUAAACAGAAACGCCACCCCUCCCCUGGCACUUGCAUUGGCACCGGAGGAUUGCAGGAUAUGAUCCAAGGUGCUGAAAACUUCCUAACAAAACUCUUCAGCCGAAUCUGGCACACCUAUGGUUCCAGCUACUGGGUAGACUGAGGCAGGAGGAUCGCUUGAGGCCAAGAGUUCAAGGCCAACCUGGGCAACAUGAAGUCGGCGUGGCUCAGCUCAGUCCAGUUCACAACAAAUAUGAAAUCCCUGCCCUACAGGACCAGGCCUCAGGAAGGGCUUGGGGGCCUCAGAGGCAAAUGAGACCAGGUCCAUCAACCAUACAGAACUGACAACCUGGACUCCCCACUCUGAAGGCACCUACUGUCUCACCCUUCCCUGACUCUGCCCGUGCACAAGGUGACCCCGGCUGCAAGCGUGCCAGGAGCUUUUCUCCACCUCUGCCUCAACAUCUGCCGCCUCUCCUCCUCUGGAGAGGGAGGCAGCUGAAGGACACCAGCCCCACGCCUUGCUGGAGCAGCUGAGAUCGCUGGGAGGAGGUUGGGAGAGGACUCAGGGGCUCAGGCUAGAUCAGGAGGGUGUGCCCUGCCUCCUUGUGAGGGGGCCCAGCACCACGGGGAGCCCACAGUGUAGGGUGCUGUUCAGCCAAAUUGGUUACCACUGGGUGUGAGGUCUGUGGUUGUGCAGGGUUGAAGGGCUGGGUGUCAUUUGCCUCUGAGGCCCCCGAGCCCUUCCUGAGGCCUGGUCCUAUAGGUCAAGGAUGGGCUAUUUGUUGUGAACUGGAUUGCGCUGAGAGCCACACUCAUGUUUAGGGGGAAAUGCCAUUGUACUGGUUUCCUGUGACUGCCCUACAAAUAACCACAAAGAGGCAAGGGGAGAAGUGGGGCUGUCCCUUCCAUAGGGCUGCAGUCAAGCACAAAUGACUCUAAUGGUAUUAAUUUUGAGAGAGAGAGAGAGAUUUGGAGUUCACCACAAAUUCUCCAAACAAACAAUUUUACAAGGAGGACAUGACCCGCCUGGCAUUACUGCUUAGGUCUGAAUGAGUGAUACUGACUGCAGCAGGUGACCAGGCCAAGCCCAGA